CACACCCACACAAAUGAUUAUUUCCUUCAUACAACUUAUCCCACUGAAAAAUGUCUGCUCCUACCAACAAUGCUACAAUCAAGUUCUAGUAACAUAACAGGUAAUUUUCUUUGAAUGUAAAGAAGCAAGAAUUAUAGAACAGCUCCUGGCCAACCUAAAGCUUCAAAAUAUCAUAUGAAUGAACUCUUAUUCCACACUUCUACCACGUCUUUACAAAACUUAUGCAAUUUACUUGACAAAAUUGUGUGUUACCCUGGAACGGAAGUUCCAAAGUCUUGGGAUUUUCAUUGGAUAUACUUAGUUUUACCAUAAGUUGGUCCUUAUUUAUUUUGUAUACCCUACAUAAACUGUUAAGAGUUGAUUUCACAUUAACAAAAAAUGUUAUUUAAACUUACUAUAAUAUACAUUUGUACAUUAACUUCAAAAUUAUUAGAUAAUAUUUUGAAAAUAAAUAUCAGAAGGCUGAAAAGUCAUCCAAUCAAAAA